rnacentral:rRNA from 1 species
AGAAUGAACGCUGGCGGCGCGCCUAAUACAUGCAAGUCGAGCGAGAAGACGUAGCAAUACGUUUGUAAAGCGGCGAACGGGUGAGGAAUACAUGGGUAACCUACCCUCGAGUGGGGAAUAACUAGCCGAAAGGUUAGCUAAUACCGCGUACGCUCCUUGGACUUCGGUUCAGGGAGGAAAGCGAUACCGUGGGUAUCGCGCUCUUGGUUGGGCUCAUGUCCUAUCAGCUUGUUGGUGAGGUAACGGCUCACCAAGGCUUCGACGGGUAGCUGGUCUGAGAGGACGAUCAGCCACACUGGCACUGCGACACGGGCCAGACUCCUACGGGAGGCAGCAGUAAGGAUAUUGCGCAAUGGGCGAAAG